UGCUCCAUACAUAUUAUUCUCGACGGAUAUUCCAUUCAUCUUUCUUGGGCCGAGUCUCUUGAAACCGAUGUUUGAGGGCGAGAUCUACUUGUUGAACCGCUGCUGCCGCUUAAGGCUGCUCUGUUAUGAGCAAGUAAAGGCUCGUGGAGCGAGAUAUCCUCUCUUUCGCCGCCGAAAUAUAGUAUUGAGUUGAACCAUCAAUCAUUCGGAGCGUCAAGUGCAAUUAGAUCCAUUUCCAUUUCUUUUUAGGAUCUAUUAGUAUCAUAUUUAUGGUUGACUUGGAAUAAAGGAAAAAAUAGAGUCUCUAGGCUAGGCUCCGUUCAGAAAAUACCAGAUGGGGAAUCAAUGUAAUGGACGAUUACCACUAGUAUCAUAAACGAUUCUUAUCCGGAUAUUAUAUAGGAGUGAUUUCAAACGUCCAACCAAUAACCAAUGGAAUAGUCUUAUGAAUACAUCGAAUGGUUGGGGAAAGGCAUUCAACGAAUUGAAAAAGGAAGUGGUACUGAGAGCAUUAGCCGCCCUAUAUGCUAUAUAGAAUUCGGACAGAUCUAUUCCCGCAGUAGAACAUAAACCUCAAAAGAAAGGAAAGUGCAAACUAAGGGAUCUAAAUCAGAUGGAUUCUCUCUAUCUAGCUUUCAUAUUAUAGAAGAUUCUCUCUAUCUAGCUUUCAUAUUAUAGAAUAAGAAGAGUUCAUUCCAUUGCGGAGCCGUAUGCAACGCACAGAAGAUGCCAGUGACGGUUGGUCCAUUUCUUCUUGUUAUUCAUUUUUGACCUUACAUUAGCCCAAUCCUGCGAGAUAGAGGAACCGUUCAUUAUGUUCUUAUCUAAGAGAUCAAUAUAAUUAGGGUCAUGAUUCAUAAACCAGCGCUUUUUCGUUUUUCUGAAGCACAAGCAAAGCUGGGGAAUAUCUCCUGGAAGUGGAAGAACUAGUGACGCGAAACCCUAACAAAGGUGGUUUAUGUACACCCUUUUAUGGGUUGUAUCUGAAGACAUGGAAAGGGAUGUUGUUCUUAUGUCAGCAACUGAAGCCCAAGCAAGCUCAUGUAGCGGUCGAAAAUGCAAAUACUGGGGAUUUCAUGUAAAUACAUUUCAAAACCAUAAUGAGAAUUUCCGGCAUUUGUGGUAUUGAAUAGAAAUACGGAAUUCUUAAGCUCCAAUCCAAUCAUAAGGUAAAGAUCGAUCUAAACCAACCCUGUCCUGUUAUUAGAGAAAUAUAUUAAUAAUCUCCAUAUAUAUGGACGACAUGCCAACUAUUCCACUUAUUAUUAGGAACGAACACAAGACAGCCUAUAAGGAAUGUGGAGAAUUCUCCCGCUCUUACAAGAUGUACUCCGCUUAGAAUAACAUUGACUAGGGUGUAUGUGCGACUCGUUCAGAUCAUGAGUUCGAAACAAAUGAGACAAUUUGGACAGUGUCAAUGACCGGUACCAAUAAAUAAGGGUCAAUAGAAAAGAUCCAUCAAAAACGAAUAGAUUAUGUAUGGAAUUUACCGGUACCAAUGAAUAGGGUCAAUUGAAAAGAUCUAUCAUCUCCAUAUCCAUAUUAUGGUGAAAAUCCAAUCACCUAGAUAUUAGAUGAAAAGCUAUUACCCAUUGGUAGAAAAUGGUUAUCCAUGAAGCUAUGGAACAUGGUAUUCUAAGAAGCAAAGAGAUUAUCUCCUAUGUAGUUAGAAGCAAAGAGAUUAUCUCCUAUAUAGUUAGUUAAAAGAGCCGGACUAUGAGGGUCUGCUACCUAGCCGAAUUUCAUGCCAUCAUUGUAUAGAUACAUUUUCUUGUGAAAAGAGCUAUUACUCAACACAUAUAUAUAUGUGGGUAGAGCCAAAGAGUGUGAACUAUACCAUUUGAUUAAAUGAAAGAGGAGGCUCCGGUGUAUAGAGAGGACAGGACCUCACCGUUUCAGAAGUAACCAUAGAAAGGAUGGAACCCCUAUUCUUUAGAGUCUAUCAUUCCUAUAUUGAUUAUUUGCAGGUGAAAUGCCUUAUUAGCAGGUGAAAUGCCUGAUAGGCUUUCUUUGAUUUGUUUACAUUAUUUCUCUUAUCCAUGUGUGAGAUAUAUGUGUGAAGUUCAUCCUCUUCCUUGGCGAGAACGCACACGCCUUCGUUCGAUCUAUUUCUUUAUUUAUCCAUGAAUCGUAUGCUUGUAACAAUAGCGAAAAUAUCCUAUCAUUUCCUAUAAUCGACCAGAGUUGUUGUGCGCCAUAGAAUAGAUAUAAUAUAACAUAACUAUACACACACACAAACAAACGAAUUGUUUAAGAUAUGAUAUUUUGUGCCUCAUUAAUCUUCUUUACAGUCAGUUGUUACUAGAUUCUAUAUUAGUCACACACUCUCUUUUAUUCUAUCUAUUCUACAAGCAACGUAUAUUAAGCUAAGCGCGUUAGAGAAGGUUGCCCUUGACUAUACCCUACUGCUGAACUUAGUCAAGCACCUUUACUAUACUGAGUCCUUUCUUUACCUUUACUAUACUGAGUCCUUUCUUUACCUUUACUAUACUUCACUUCACUUAGUUAAGCUAUCAUUGAUUAUACGGAAUCUCUGGUAUCUCCUCUUCUCUUUCUUUAUUAGCUAUUCGAAGAGUUUCUUCUCUUUCUUUAUUAGCUAUUCGAAGAGUGGGAACAUAUGAAUUAUAGCCUAAUUCAGGCUUUCAGCUCCUUUCCUUUCUUAGUAACCUCAGCAGUUGAGAAUUCCGUCUUCAAUUCUUUCUCUUUAUAUGAUUCAACUUCCACUCGAACAGUUUCUCUAUACGCCAACAAAGGUCAAGUUCACAAAAGACUACCUCUAAGGCCAGGCCAAGUUAACCAAAAAGAAUAGGAGCAUUGCGCUUGAUAACCCCUGUGGGCCCACUAGAUUUAUGGGUUUAGGCUAUCGUAAAUGCCAAGACCCUUGAGUGACUAUUACUAUAUAACAGAACAGCUGCACCUACAUUCCAAAAGUGAUGUUUUGAGAGCUGCUUGCUUCUAGGUGGCCGGAAAGUACACAGUAUAAGACACAGAUCCUCUUCUCUUCUUUGCGCUCUUCCUAUAGUUGGUGCACCAUGUUCCACUUUAGGCGUUAAGUUCAAGCCAAGUUCAAGGAAUAGAAUAGCGGCUGGGCAAUUAAGCAGAUAGGCACAAUAAGUGGAGUAACUCGGAUUCUAUAUGUAGGUAGGGAUAGCUAUCAAUCUUAGACUUGCCGAGGUAGGCGCACGCACAUAUCAUAUAUUCUUUUACUUGCCGGGGUGGGUGCACAUAUCAUACAUCUUUUUCUUUUGCAGCACUCUAUUCCAUUCAUUUUGGAUGCUUUAGAGAACUCGGGCAAUAAUGAAGCACUUGAGUAUAUAUAGGGUUCGUACGCGAGUAAGAUCAAAUAACUAGCAAUAGGCUCAUAAAUAAGGUCCAAUCAAGUCUGUAUGGAGCUCCUAGGCUUUCGAUAAAUCCAAUCAAUCCGGACUUCCAAUAUGGUUUUCAAGGGCUCGACUUACUGGUAAAGCUCUCUUCUUUCUCUAAGAGUAAUGAGUAGAAUCUAAAGAAAUAGAGUAAUGAGUAGAAUCUAAAGAAAUAGAGUAAUAUAGGUACCACGGAGCGGUAAAGGCGGGUAUGAGACUUUCAUAAAUCAGACACGGAUCUCAUUCCAUCUAUCUUAUCAAAAUCUCACUAGGAAAAGAGGAUAGAGUUAUUCUAAACUUGGGUGGCUCCUACCUAUUCAUCUUAUGCCCACGCUUGGGUUGGGUGGCUCCACCUAUUCAUCUUAUGCCCACGCUUGAUAAUACCGUCUCAAUCGUAAUCAUCCUUAUCGCUAUUAUAUAUUUAAAUGUAUGCCUAAUGAAUGUUAUAUGUAUGCCUAAUGAAUGUAUAGAAUUGAAAGAUGUAUGUAUGUAUGUAUCCCUAAUGUCUAGAGAAUAGAAUGAUCCUCGUUGCACUUUUUCGCCUUAGUAAGUUCAAUAGUUCAUGGAAUUUUCAUUGGAAUAGUGGCAUGCAUUCCCUCUUCCGCUCGUUACUUAUGUGGGGUGUGGGAUUUCUGAGUGUUCCUUCUUUCAGUCGAUUCCUCUUGGAGUGAGUCUUCUUGCUUUGCUUACCCUCGCCUAAGGAGAUAGCACCUACUCGAUCAAUCAUCAUACUAGAUUCUAUUAUCAUAGUCACAAUCAUCAUACUAGAUUCUAUUAUCAUAGUCAAUAGCUAAAGGGGUGGUAUCAUAGUCAAUAGCUAAAGGGAUAGUCGUAACGAAAAUCCAACAACCUCCUUACUUUGUCUUAGACCAACGUUCAUGGCAUCGAGACAGUUCUAAGGACGAGACCUAUACAACAACUAUGAGGUGAGACAGCUUCUUCGUGAUAAGUAUUUGAUGCUAAUAAAUGAUUUGCUGAUAAUCUGAGUUUGCCUAGCAUGGACUUGGAAGCACUAAGUAAGCACUGCAUUCAGUCACUCCUAAGAAGAAAACUAUGCUUAGCUGCAUACCUUCUCUUAAUUAGAAUAACGCCGAACAGUGUUCAAAUGCUAGUUUGAUUUUCACCAUAUCCCUGACAUGAUCCUAACCUAAGUAAUGAAAAGAUCAUAUGUGAACUAGCAGCUUUUCCCUGAAUCUCUUUCUCCGGAAUCUGGCCUCGCCCCAAGGCAGCCCACGGAGCAGUAGGUUUUUCCUCAUUCGAUCUAAAACAGCAAUGGCUUUUCUUCCUGGCAUAUGUACCACUAUAUAAUAUAGUCAAGGCCCCAGCUCCUCGCAUUCCAUUUUCCGUUCUUUCGCUUAGGCUGUUUUGAGUGAGAAGCGAAGUUCCGUUAGCAAGCCUGUGACUGCAGACUAGUCUACGCUCAGCGAACAUUCCGACCUUGCCUCGAUACUGACAGUUCAGUGGGCAGAGAGAGAAAGGCAAAUAAGUAGUUCCGCUAGCUAAACUCACCUCAAUACUAGACUUAUUAGCUAAUAACAAAGAUGCUAAAGAAGAGAAGCUACAUCCACUACCUUCACCCUGACAGGAUAAGCGGAUGAGCGUACCAAGGGACUUACUGACCAAAGCAGCUAACUAAUGCGACUCCAGACAAUCUACAACUCUGGAUUCCUCGCAACAAACAAGCUACCAACAAGCAACAUUGAGUAUAGAAUCAAUAUGGUAUAUAUAAUAUGAAAACACUUCUAUACUAACUAUAGGUGUCGCGCUCACGUAUGAGUUAUUAGAGUUCGUUGCUUCUUUGUUGCGCUUACUGAGUUAUUAGGAAACUGAAACCACCUUACUGCAGUAGCUGUAGUAGUAGCUGUAGGAAUAGUGGCCAAAUAUACUUCAUUCAUUCGUCUUAGUAGUCUUAGUGAUGUAGUAUACCUUCGUUACCUUCCCUUAGUCCCAUGCAGUAGUCGGAUUACCUUCGUUACCUUCCCUUAGUCCCAACACAGCUGACAUCAAGCAUUCCUCUCUUAAGUAAUCCCUUGAGGCGAGAUAAGCCUAAGACCUGAUAAUGCGGCAUCCACCCACCCGCUUUAAGGACCGAGCUACCCACAUUGAAGGUGCUGAAAGUCUAACUAUAACAAUAAACGAUUGAAAGAUCUAGCUUGUCAUUAGCCAACCCUUCUCUCUAUCACUCCUUUGGAGGAAAGACCGGUAUAAUCAUUCUCUAACGCGAGAAAGCAACUACUUGAACAAAGAAAGAAGGCAGGCAGCGAGGUUAAGGAAUGCUAUUAAGACUCGAUUUAGCUACACCUUAUAGAGCUCCAUUAAGCCAAGCAAGAAGUCAAUUGUGGUUAUAGUAGCUAGCUCAAUAGCGGAUAGAGAUGCAGCCUCAGAAGCCGAAGCAAGAUCCGGUGAGGAAGCUGUGCGCAAGCAAGUACUAAUAUUCUACGGGUAUUAUUAAGGGUCUUCAUGAAAGUAUAGUUCCAGAAUCCGCUGGUAAAGAAUCCUUAUAUGUUUCCUCGGCGCGUAAGGGAGCUCGUUAAGUCUUUAUUUAAGUUGAAGCAUAGAUCCAAUUCAGAACUGGAAGUAGGGGUUGGGCAAAGGUCAAACAAUACCCAUCCAUCUAAUCUACCUCAGGCAACAAAGACAUAUGAAACUCGGGGUGAAAAGACAGAUUCCACUCUUCCUCUAACUUACACUGGGGAUUCAACUCUAAAGUCACUACUAACCAAGCAACUACGAAGGCCAAGUCGACAACAACACUAGUUUCUUUCGCAACGUCUUUCGAAAGGGCUCAAACCUUUUCUUAUAGUUUCUAAGCACCAAUACGGGCUCAAACCCUUUCUUAUAGUUUCUAAGCACCAAUACUAGACUUGACUCGAAUUCCAUACUCUCCGCUUAGUAUUGCAGCCCGAACUCCCGUAAGUAAAGAAUUAGAUUGAGCUGAUGCUGAUGCAUGACGUCUUGUUUACCUUGUCUCAUUUCUAUUUGACUCUCUUGCUCUUGCUGGGCAUCUCAUCUUUUCUCUCUUAGAACUCGUAAGUCAAACAGGAAUCUUUCUUGCACCCGACGAAAACAGGACAUUCUCUGGUCGACUUAGCGCUUGCAGCAGAUUUCCUUUCUACAGCGACCUAAACUCAUAAGUCAGAAUGGAAUGGAAGUGAAGAGCAUCAGGUGGGUAAGUUAUCUUCUUCUAUAAUACAUACAUAAUGAUUCUUUAGUCCUAAUCUCGAGCGGCAGGGAGCUUAGAGACAAGCUACGUAGUUACCAAGUGCUGAGGCGUUCAGUUUAGCGAGGAAAAAGGGAUGCAGUGUGUGGUUAGGUUUACUCAUAUCUAUCUUGCUUGGUGGGGGCGCUAUCAAAUACUCUUUCUUUCCUUCGAGUGGAGUUCACGAAAACAGUACUUAUUCUGUGUCCUGCAGCUUUAUUCCAUAUUAGGAACUACGGAACGCGCUAGAUUCAAUUAGUUCUCUGUCUUCUCGUAAAGAAACAAGUAAAUAAACUCCUUCCCUUUGAUUUGGAAUUGAACCGCUCGUCGACAACACUGGCACCAAAGGAGACUCCACCUUAGUACACCGCUUGCAUUGACUUUCCGCUUGCUUCAUCUCUCGUUGACUUAACUCGCACCGCUACUGCACCCAAAACUAUUACUACAACUCGCUACCGCACCCCAACCAAAAAGUAUUACUACUUGCUUCUGUCGCCUGCAUCCUCACUGACACUUCACUUUAAUGCAUUGAUUGGACCACUACAAGGGGCUGAAUAAGGCCAGCAACUACUCAUUAAGUAAUUAAGGGAAAGCACUACUCGGCACAGAUAUAAUUCCUGAGCUGGGCGCAUUUCUUUAGUUAGGUACAGAAAGAUGGAUAUUAGAAUUAAUAGCAGUAAGGUUACUUACUUACAUAAGUUGUUGUGCACAUUCUUUGAUUUCGUCUUGUGCCCUAGAGAGAGAGAUAGUUUGAAAGUGAGAUUCUUUCUAUUGUGCUAUUGGAGUUGCAGGGUGCGUUGAGCCAGCAGUAACCAGUGAAGGAAGCAAUGCUGUUUAGAGUAAGGGAAGUGAAUCAAUUGUAUACUUUGUCGUUCAAUUCCAUUCUUCAGUGUUUGGGAGUGGCGUAAACAAAAACAAGUGAACAAGCCCUAUAAGCGUUUAUUGGAGCGGGUCGGGUGCUGUUGUUGCGCUAACUUAGAAGCGGGUAGGUGCUUUAGAGAGUUCCAGAACCCUAAGUGCAUUAGUUUCGGUGUUUAGUGAUGAAGUGACUUUCUUUCUAUAUAAGGAAUGGGUUAAUUCAAUUAUAAGGAAUGGGUUAAUUCCAUUCAAUUAAAGGGGGGCACACAGGCAGGCCCAGACUCAGUUAGAGUUUCGUUCGGGUCGAUAACACCUCUGCUCUGGCCACUUAGCGGUUAAGUAUCAAGUGUAAUCUAUGAUUGAAUCAGAGGCUCAAGUUCGCGCUAAAGGAAUCUCAGCAGCAAUCGAAGUUCGAGUGUAGUAAUAGAGAUAAGAUGCUAGAGAUGAAUAAAGAUCUGAUGCCGGAUCGGAAGAAGUCGACGUAACGGUUAAGUAUAAGUAGGCUUUAGCUCAAAGUUGUAUAAGGUGUUGUCCCCCUGUAGCUGGUGGAGUUCCAUAAACCGAAUCAAAAGAUUCCAUUACAGUUUGACUCGGCACAAGAGAAGAAGGAGAUUCAAUUAAUUCUUAGGACAGUUAAGAGUCGGAGUUCAGGUAUCCGUUUAGGGCCGUGUAUCGGUUCCAUUGGCUUUCCGUUCUUGUUAAGUAAACCAGAUCAGUAGAUGAAGCAGGAGUAGGAGCAGUUGCCGAAUCCAAAUCAAUAUAUAAAGCAGUGCGCAAGAGAAGCAUAAUCCGCAGGAGCUAGAUCUGUUGAGUGAGGAACUGAAAUAGACCCAUCGCCAGCACAAAGAGACUAUCCUGCUCCAGCUGAUGAUAAAGAGAAAGAUCCUGCAUCUCAAACUACACUUUCUGUCCCAAACUACACUUCAUCACUUGCUUCAACACGAGCUAUUAACGAGUCCAGUUUUCAUUGAUGGUUUCCAUUCUUAUAGUUAUUAGUUCAAUUCUAACUUAUGAGAGAUGGAGCACAGGGGUGUUUACUUAUAUCUAUUAAACAGAGCGGGUAACAAUCACAUACCUAUCGGGGAACUCACAUUCUUCCGUUUCUUCCCUUUCCAUUAAAAGCUUUCAACUGGUUCUGCUUCUUGUUUACUUGCUUCUAAAGCUACCCCAAGCCCAAGAGAUUCUCGACUGGAAUUUCAUUGAUCCGCUUCAGAUCUUGUCGAUGUCGACUUAGAGCCAACAACAGAACAAGUAGACCUAAUUCACCCUGCUUCUUUAUAAGAUGAAACUAGAACAGCCGAAUCUCUAUCUUUUAAAUAGAACAUAGGAGAACAUAGGAAUUGCCCCAACGUUAGCUGAACCUUUCGAUCGCCUUGUAAAGUCAACAAAGAAUUCAUUUCCAUCCAUUGUCUCGAGGUCAAAGUAUACAGUUUCAAGUCCGACAAGUAGACAAGCCGACAAGCAGACGCCAAGUCACUACUAGACAAUGAGCAAGUCCUAAUUCCGUAGAGUUCUCAAAAGUCCUGUGUGUGUUCUAGCGUCAGUGAGUUACCUGAUUCAAUGUUCUCUUUUUUGCUUCAGCUAGAGCUAGAUGAAUUUCCGUAAGUAUUUGUUGAGUUAAGAGCAAGUCCGUAUUUUGGCGAUCAAGCUAAUAAGUCGGAGUUGUAGAAUAAACAAGAUUAGAAGCAUAAGAUAGAAUAAGAGAAGAGUCGGUUAUUUACUGAAAUCUAUUGUUAGUAGUUGCGGGGCCUUGAUUCUUAUAUUUGUAGGUGGAAGAGACCAACUCAAGUCCCAAGAGCGAAAGAGCCAGUUAGUAGUUUUCGUUUGGUAAGUUGUGGGGGAAGAGUUAGAACCGGGCAGGUAAGAUUAGUUGGCCAUUAGGUAAGGCUAAAAGAAAGGAAUCUAGUCCUGAUAGUGACAAGUCAAGAAUGCCUAUAAAGAGUGCCAGAUUAAUCAAAAGGAAAAGCAGACUUUAAGAAGGAGUGGACUAGUGCAAGGGUAAAGGUCGAAGCUACUACUACAGAGCGAAAGACGGGAGCGGUAGUUUGGUAGUUAUGAGUUUUCUUCCUUAAGACAGGAGGAAUGGGGGUUUAUUUGAUAUUAGUGCCCCAAGAGGUAAGUUCGGGAGUUAUGAGCUACAGGCUACUAGUUUCAAUAAAUACUGUAGUCAAGGAAUGACAGACGACUUCUUUGUUUAGGUCCUCUGCUUUAGUUUAGUGCCUUAGCUUAGGGUUUCUACUUUGGAGUGGAUAUUCUCACUUAGCGCAAAAAAAGAGAGAUUCUGACUUGAAAAAGAAAUAGAUUAGUCCUGUCCCUUGCAUGCUUGCCUGUCUUCGGUGUUUUUUAUUAUUAGCAGUGGUGUUUGGGCUCAAUUACUGUUUGAGAGCUACCGCCUUGUUAGUCGUAGGUGUAUUCGAAGAGUUGUAUGGUGCCCGUAAAGUAAGCCUAUAAGUAAGUGCAUCUAGUCAUAGAAUAAUAGCGGAUUGCCCCCAAAAUAAGAGAAUAAUAGCGCUAAUCAUCAGAAUGGGGCCGGGGAGCGAGAGAUCGGACAACAACCAGUGCUUCUAAGACGGGGAAACUGCUGAUAGAAAGAAUCAAACAAAGAAAUAGGACUCGCUCUCCGGGGCACUAAGCUGUCUCCCUUACACUCCUAUUAUUACUCCCUUGCUUGAAACCUAAAUAUCCGCCUACCAGAGAAGUAGUAUAUCUAACCUAGCUAUCAAACUAGAAUUCCCUUAAACCAAUUCCUAUGUGCUUGUACCAGAAUUAUUUGUCAUUUACAAAAUCUACCUCACCUCCGAACCAACCCUGCACACCUAACUUUGGAUAUGAGCCUGCCUAUCUUACCUUCCAUUCUUUAUGGAACUACUAGAUUCUUAUUCCUCGUCAAAACUCUUAGGCCCUGAAGACCUGUUCCUGGCAUUCCCGCUCUCUAAGUUGAAGUAUGCCUCUGCCUAUCUCAAGAACCUAUCUAUUGAUUCCAACUAGAACCCCUGCCCUAGAGUCUUGUUAGUUCCCCUGAAACUCUUUAGUGAAAGUUAGGGUUGUACUCGUUAGCUACAUUACCAUUCUCUUGGUUUAGUAUUCCAUUGAUUCCUUGCAUUCUAUAUCUAUGCUUCAAACUGACCUUGCUCGCUUUAAUCCUCGAACAGCUUAUUUGAAUUCUUUAAAUGCUACCUGAAAAGCCUUACUUGUAUUAAUUUGAGCCUGACCUGACUCCUCUUUAUCCUAAGUAGAGGAACCUGACUCCUAUUAUUCUUCUUUAUCUUAUAGAGUACGGAAUUCCGCUAUUACCUUGAAGACUGGUCCCCGCGGCUACAGUAUAAGAAUGCCUACCCCAAACUCCAGUAUUAUAUCCCUGCCUCUCCGCUUGCCACUGCUACUUCUUAUACCUUAACUCAAAAGCGGUAAUUCAGCGACAACUGAAAGGGCUGCUACCAAUGCAAACAAUACUCGAACUGGAAACUGGGAAUACGCACAUCGAUAACAGGAAUCGAACAAGUACAAUAGAAUGCAUCUCCACGGGCGCAUACUGCAGAGCGACUAACUACCUGCUAUCAGAUUGGAGCUACUCACUAUGGGCCUGCUACUCUUAACUCGAAUUCUCUUACUAUACCUUAUCUCGUUCUGUAAGCGAGCGAUCAUUAAUAGUGACUCGGUGGGUAAGAAGUAGGAAAUCCACUCAUAAGUAGUCAAUCCACCUAGAAGCCUAUUUCUGGAAAGUAUCAAAUAAAGAAUAGAACCGAACCCCUUGUAUUAACUUAGUUCAGCUGACUUUAGAUUGGAUUUUGCUUAUCUUAUAUCUUAUAAAUACACUGCAACAUUGAAUCUAUCUCUCUUGUCGACAACUGAACUGGCCGCUCCCGCCAAUAACCUCUCCUCUAUUAAGCACCCAUCUCUUUCUUCUCUUAAAAGGAAAUAUAUAGUUACAGCUGAUAGGGAAAGCUUACUCUUUGAUCGACUAAGCCGAAAGACGGACGCAUUUCCUAACCCUUACUGCUAACAUCGGAUAUUCCUUCCAUUCUUCCUUUCUUGGGAUUAAUCGAUUAUUCGCAUUCAACCUGGAAACAAUUCUUUUUACAACGGACGGAAGUCUUUAUUAUUUGCAUUCCAUUGCUUAUCUUUGUGAUUCCUUUGCUUAUUGCCUAGGCAACAGUGAGUUUAGGCGAAGACACUUUGAUUGGGCGAGUAAUAUAUAGUUUGACACUUGCUUUCCGCUUAACCUCAAGCAGAAAUGGAUACGUACUUUUAUACUUUACUUGGUGGACCUG